AACGAACGCUGGCGGCAUGCCUAACACAUGCAAGUCGAACGGGAUCCUGGCUUCGGUCAGGUGAGAGUGGCGGACGGGUGAGUAACGCGUGGGAACCUGCCCAGUGGUGGGGGAUAACUGCGGGAAACUGCAGCUAAUACCGCAUGAGCCCGAGAGGGGAAAGAUGUAUCGCCAUUGGAGGGGCCCGCGUUCGAUUAGGUAGUUGGUGGGGUAAUGGCCUACCAAGCCGACGAUCGAUGGCUGGUCUGAGAGGAUGAUCAGCCACACUGGGACUGAGAUACGGCCCAGACUCCUACGGGAGGCAGCAGUGGGGAAUAUUGGACAAUGGGGGCAACCCUGAUCCAGCAAUGCCGCGUGAGUGAUGAAGGCCUUCGGGUUGUAAAGCUCUUUUGCCAGGGACGAUGAUGACGGUACCUGGAGAAUAAGCCCCGGCUAACUUCGUGCCAGCAGCCGCCGUAACAC
rnacentral:rRNA from 1 species